CACGUAUUUAGCCGGAGCUUCUUAGUCAGGUACCGUCAUUUUCUUCCCUGCUGAUAGAGCUUUACAUACCGAAAUACUUCUUCAUUCACGCGGCGUUGCUGCAUCAGGGUUUCCCCCAUUGUGCAAUAUUCCCCACUGCUGCCUCCCGUAGGAGUUUGGGCCGUGUCUCAGUCCCAAUGUGGCCGUUCACUCUCUCAAGCCGGCUACUGAUCGUUGUCUUGGUAGCCGUUACCCUGCCAACUAACUAAUCAGACGCGGGCCCAUCCUGUACCACCGGAGUUUUUCCUGCUGUACCAUGCGGUACUGUAGGCUUAUGCGGUAUUAGCAGCCGUUUCCAGCCCGUUGUCCCCCUGUACAGGGCAGGUUACCCACGCGUUACUCACCCGUCCGCCACUCACGUCCUGCGCGUCUUCCCUCCGGAGAGUUCCGUCACACAGUCUUCGUUCGACUUGCAUGUGUUAGGCACGCCGCCAGCGUUCAUUCCUGACGUCCGACGGAUACAAACUCU
rnacentral:rRNA from 1 species